GUGCUCACUUCAGCAGCACAUAUACUAAAACUGGAAUGAUACAGAGAAGAUUAGCAUGGCCCCAAGCAAGGAUCACAUGCAAAUUCAUGAAGCAUUCCAUAUUUUU